AGAAGACAUUAAUAUGAAGACAUGUGAGACGGUUAACUUUCAAAUAAGUGGAGAUGUGCAUCUUGGUUCAGUUAGUCUUUCAGAUGGCUGUAGCACCAUUGAUUUCACAAACUUUGCAACACAAGGCAAAGGCAUAGAGAAAGACGUGCAAAAAUGUCAGUAGACCAAAGGAAUGAGUUGAAUAAGAAGCGUCAUGAGGCGCGACAACAAAACAAGGGACAACAUAUGAUGUCCACUGUGCCAGGAGAUGGAGACGAAAAAGUAAAUGUGAAUCAAGAUGAUGAUAGCGAUUGGUUGCAUAGGAAUGAGACAUUCAAGGCUGACGAUGUUUUCACAACGAGAGACCUUCUGACACCAG